GACAUGGCUCAGGAUGAACGCUAGCUACAGGCUUAACACAUGCAAGUCGAGGGGCAUCAGUUUGGUUUGCUUGCAAACCAAAGCUGGCGACCGGCGCACGGGUGAGUAACACGUAUCCAACCUGCCUCAUACUCGGGGAUAGCCUUUCGAAAGAAAGAUUAAUACAAGAUGUUAUCAUGAGUAAGCAUUUUCGCAUGAUUAAAGGUUUACCGGUGUAAGAUGGGGAUGCGUUCCAUUAG
rnacentral:rRNA from 1 species